rnacentral:rRNA from 1 species
UAGGAGGCGUCGAGCGGCGGACGGGUGAGUAAUGCAUAGGAAUCUGCCCGGUAGUGGGGGAUAACCUGGGGAAACCCAGGCUAAUACCGCAUACGUCCUACGGGAGAAAGCAGGGGAUCUUCGGACCUUGCGCUAUCGGAUGAGCCUAUGUCGGAUUAGCUUGUUGGUGAGGUAAUGGCUCACCAAGGCGACGAUCCGUAGCUGGUCUGAGAGGAUGAUCAGCCACAUCGGGACUGAGACACGGCCCGAACUCCUACGGGAGGCAGCAGUGGGGAAUAUUGGACAAUGGGCGAAAGCCUGAUCCAGCCAUGCCGCGUGUGUGAAGAAGGCUUUCGGGUUGUAAAGCACUUUCAGUGAGGAAGAAUGCCUUCGGCCUAAUACGCCGGAGGAACGACAUCACUCACAGAAGAAGCACCGGCUAACUCCGUGCCAGCAGCCGCGGUAAUACGGAGGGUGCGAGCGUUAAUCGGAAUUACUGGGCGUAAAGCGCGCGUAGGUGGCUUGAUAAGCCGGUUGUGAAAGCCCCGGGCUCAACCUGGGAACGGCAUCCGGAACUGUCAGGCUAGAGUGCAGGAGAGGAAGGUAGAAUUCCCGGUGUAGCGGUGAAAUGCGUAGAGAUCGGGAGGAAUACCAGUGGCGAAGGCGGCCUUCUGGACUGACACUGACACUGAGGUGCGAAAGCGUGGGUAGCAAACAGGAUUAGAUACCCUGGUAGUCCACGCCGUAAACGAUGUCGACUAGCCGUUGGGGUCCUUGAGACCUUUGUGGCGCAGUUAACGCGAUAAGUCGA